CCUACGGGAGGCAGCAGUGGGGAAUAUUGCACAAUGGGGGAAACCCUGAUGCAGCGACGCCGCGUGAGUGAAGAAGUAUUUCGGUAUGUAAAGCUCUAUCAGCAGGGAAGAAAAUGACGGUACCUGAUUAAGAAGCCCCGGCUAACUACGUGCCAGCAGCCGCGGUAAUACGUAGGGGGCAAGCGUUAUCCGGAUUUACUGGGUGUUAAGGGAGCGUAGACGGCAGCACAAGUCUGGAGGGAAAUGCCGGGGCUUAACACCGGAACUUCAUUGGAAACUGUGCAGCUAGAGUGCAGGAGAGGUAGGUGGAAUUCCUGGUGUAGCGGUGAAAUGCGUAGAUAUUAGGAGGAACAC
rnacentral:rRNA from 1 species